GGGACCGCACAAGCAGCGGAGCGUGUGGUUUAAUUCGUUGCUACACGAAGAACCUUACCUGGGUUUGACAUAUAGGUUGUAGGGAACUGAAAAGGACCGACCUUCGGGAGCCUAUACAGGUGUUGCAUGGCUGUCGUCAGCUCGUGUCGUGAGAUGUUCGGUUAAGUCCGCUAACGAGCGCAACCCUCGUCGUAUGUUAUAUGUGUCAUACGAGACUGCCGGUAAAAGCCGGAGGAAGGUGAGGAUGAUGUCAAGUCAGCAUGACCUUUAUAUCCAGGGCUACACACACGCUACAAUGGUCUGUACAAUGGGUAGCCAAGCCGCGAGGCGGAGCCAAUCCUGAAAGCAGGCCUCAGUUCAGAUUGCAGUCUGCAACUCGACUGCAUGAAGCCGGAGUUGCUAGUAACCGCAGGUCAGCAAUACUGCGGUGAAUACGUUCCCGGGUCUU
rnacentral:rRNA from 1 species